UACGUAGGGCGCGAGCGUUGUCCGGAAUUAUUGGGCGUAAAGAGCUCGUAGGCGGCUUGUUGCGUCUGCUGUGAAAUCCCGGGGCUUAACCCCGGGCGUGCAGUGGAUACGGGCAGGCUGGAGGCAGGCAGGGGAGAAUGGAAUUCCCGGUGUAGCGGUGAAAUGCGCAGAUAUCGGGAGGAACACCGGUGGCGAAGGCGGCCCACUGGGCUGUCACUGACGCUGAGGCGCGAAAGCUCGGGGAGCGAACGGG
rnacentral:rRNA from 1 species